GCCCAGGUGGUGGAAUUGGUAGACACGCUAGCCUUAGGAGCUAGUGGGGCAACCCGUGAGAGUUCGAGUCUCUCCCUGGGCACCA
rnacentral:tRNA from 1 species